GACGAACGCUGGCGGCGUGCCUAAUACAUGCAAGUCGAGCGGACGAAUCGAAAUCUUUCUUUUGAUUCGUUAGCGGCGGACGGGUAGGUAACACGUAGGCAACCUGCCCUGUAGACGGGGAUAACACCGAGAAAUCGGUGCUCAUACCGGAUCACACGAAGUGUCGCAUGACGUUUCGUUGCUCACCGGCGCAGACUGUCGCUACACGGUGUGGCCAUGGCGCAUUGGCAAGUUGGUGCGGUAAGGGCACACCAAGGCGACGAUUCGUAGCCGGCCUGAGAGGGUGAUCGGCCACACUGGGACUGAGACACGGCCCAGACUCCUACGGGAGGCAGCAGUAGGGAAUCUUGCGCAAUGGACGAAAGUCUGACGGAGCAACGCCGCGUGAGUGAAGAAGGCCUUCGGGUCGUAAAGCUCUGUUGUUAGGGAAGAACAAGUAACGCAGUAACUGGCGUUAGCGUGACGGUACCUAACGAGAAAGCCACGGCUAACUACGUG
rnacentral:rRNA from 1 species